rnacentral:rRNA from 1 species
GUCCACGCUGUAAACGAUGAUUACUAGGUGUGGGUGGACUGACCCCAUCCGUGCCGCAGUUAACACAAUAAGUAAUCCACCUGGGGAGUACGACCGCAAGGUUGAAACUCAAAGGAAUUGACGGGGGCCCGCACAAGCAGUGGAGUAUGUGGUUUAAUUCGAAGCAACGCGAAGAACCUUACCAGGUCUUGACAUCGAGUGACGAGUCUAGAGAUAGGCUUUUCCUUCGGGACACGAAGACAGGUGGUGCAUGGUUGUCGU